UUGUCUGGCAACUUAAAAUUAUAAAUGUUAUUAUUGAUGCGCUUGUGUGAGUACUCGCUGCCACACAAAGAUUUUACAGAGUUCACACAGAUCUUUUUUAAUUGGAUGCCCUCGCUUCUGUUUUUUAAAUGCCUGCAGCCUUUUCCAGAUUCCCACUCUAGCUGUCUUGUUUGAGGAGGAGAUCUUUUCUGUCUGUUUGUGUGUUCACAAGCAACAUUUUCACUUGCUUUAAGGAUGCCCUCAGUUCUGUGAUCCAUGAUUGUCCAGGAGAUUGACAGGGCUAGGGAGCCUUUUUUGUUGGUGAGUAUACAAUCUAUACAACUAUAUAACUUUUACUAGUGAUGCUGUAUCAUGUCUCACAUCUCUUGGUGUUUGUAUGUAUGUGUGUCUGUGUGUGUC